CUACGGGGUGCUGCAGUGAGGAAUAUUGCACAGUGGGGGGAACCCUGAUGCAGCAACGCCGCGUGGAGGAUGACGCAUUUCAGUGUGUAAACUCCUUUUAUAUGUCAAGAAAAUGACGGUAGCAUAUGAAUAAGCACCGGCUAACUCCGUGCCAGCAGCCGCGGUAAUACGGAGGGUGCAAGCGUUACUCGGAAUCACUGGGCGUAAAGGACGCGUAGGCGGGUUGGAAAGUCAGGUGUGAAAUCCUACAGCUUAACUGUAGAACUGCACUUGAAACUUCUAAUCUAGAGUAUGGGAGGGGGAGAUGGAAUUAGUGGUGUAGGGGUAAAAUCCGUAGAUAUCACUAGGAAUACCUAAAGCGAAGGCGAUCUCCUGGAACAUUACUGACGCUAAGGCGUGAAAGCGUGGGGAGCAAACAGGAUUAGAUACCCUCGUAGUC
rnacentral:rRNA from 1 species